UUCAAAUAUAAUUAGAGGACCGUCCAAUUGGUAUAUGAUCCUACUAUAUUAUUUGGGAAGUACAUUUUAAAUGUAACCUUAUUUUUGUAAGUAAUUACAUAGGUAUGCCAUUAAAAAUAAAAUUUAAAAAGAAAAUUAAUUCAUCUCUUUAAAAAUUAAAAAAUCAAAUACUAAUUGAAUUAAUUAAAUUUAAUUAAAAAACGAAAUACAUUAUUAAUUUCCAAAAAAGUAACCAAUUAAAAUCAACAAAUUAGAUUUGAUAUCUAAAUUAUCAUAUUA
rnacentral:sRNA from 1 species